UGGUGCGACAGACGCCCUGCCAGCGCCAAAACACGGCUGUUCGGCGCACACAGGAGCCGCCUCUGGCCUGCCACUUCCUGCCCGGAGGACCACAGACCUGAGCCCGGCUAGGACGAGACGACCGCGGCUCACCUGCCAUCAACAGGCUCGCAGGGGCCCUCACUGCACCCAGGGGGCUGGGGCCGGGCCGACCACCGAGAGAACUCACCAUGCAUCCCCUGCUAGCCUCCCUGCUCAGGGGCAGCUGGGACGUGGGCAGCCGCCUCCCAGACUGUAGUCAGGGUCCCGGAUGUGGGGAAGGCCACCCAUCAGAGUCCUCGGGGCCACUCUGCCCUGCUCAGACCCAUCUGUCAUGAACCCUGGAGUGAGCGGUGCUGCUGGGGGCUGGUGCCCAGAGGUACGGGGUCCCUGGAGCUGGGAGGGUGGGCAGAGGAAGUGCCACAUGAGGAAGCUGCAGGGGUCUCCAUUCUGGCCACACAAAGUGCCCGAAGUGGAUAAUGCUUCCGGGGGAGUGGGGGUGACUGGAGGGUUGGAGGGAUAUCUGGGACGGCUCCCUGGGGGCAGUUCUCUUGUGAGCGUCUGUGUGUGUGAAAAUCCCUGUCAUGUCACCUUCCGGGAUGUGUGUGUGAAAAUCCCUGUCAUGUCACCUUCCGGGAUGUCCAUUCUACUUCAAUGCCAAGUGUAAGUACACAGUGCCUGACUCACACCCUCUGGGUGUCCGCUCCUGUGCUCAGAGCACCCUCCGCCAGGCACCCCCCAUCCACACCCAAAGGCAGGCCCAGGCACAUGGCUGGGGUGACAGAAUCUAAUUGGGGGCAAUCCCUGCAAGUCCAGGGUGGAGGGAGUGGGCAGGGCCGAGCGGCCGUGUGAACGAGCAGUGUCCUGCCUCCACGGGGAGCCCCGGUAGACGACCAACUGUGUGAGAUCAUCUACCUGUUCCUCCAGGUCACAACAAAUCCAUCCCUCCCCAGCCUGUUUCCAACUUGGUUGAAACACCCCUAAAUGCUCCGCAAAGUACCUGCGCAGCCCUGGGCUCUAAGAGGCUUGGCCAGGGGUAAGCUUAAAGGAGAGCACGCAUGUGCACACACAGACCCACCCACACAGACACAUGCACACGCAUGGAUCCACACACACAAACACACGUACACACAAGCUCGUAUACACAAACACAAGCACUCACAAAAUCACACACGUGCACACACACUUGUGCACACAGUAACUCAUACACACGAGUACAUGCCUGCAUUCACCUGACAACACAAACACGCGUGCAUACAGCAAACACACAUGCAUACACCUGUGCAUGCCCAUGUGCACACAGCAAAUAUCUGUACACAACCGAAUCCAUAGGUGUGCACAAGAAAACAUAUACACAGAUACACAUGCAUGUAGUGCACACAAACAUACACAACGCACACACACAAGCACACAUGCGGGCACACACGGAGAGAUUUUGGUUCUUUGCUCAUAAAUCAUUUGUUCACUAAUUAAAUCACCCAUCAGCUCCUCCGACAAGGGUGGCAUGGGCGCCUUCUGCCUGCCAGGUGAGUUCUGAGUGCUGAAGCUCCCACAGGAAACGGUACGUCCCGGGAGCAACAGUCUUGAAGACUAUGGUUGGCUUCCUUGUCUUGCCCUGGCCAGAGGUGGGGCCCUGGGUUAGCACAAGGCUUUCUCAGAUGAAGUUCCAAAGUUUCCCCAUAAAAGGAGUCACUCCGAGCUAGCAUCGCCCACGACAUCCUUCCAGGCCUGGCUCCCCUGGGGCACGUGGAGUGCAGCGGGCGGGCGGGUCUGUGCAGCGGACGGGGCACCCUCCCCGUGUAGGGAAGGUGCUCUGCUCUUCCCACCCUGGGACUCUGUUCCCCGAAUCCGGCCCCCACCACACUCCAUGGCACCCAGCUAUGCCCCUGCCGCUGUCCUGUUCAUCCUUUCACACUUUUGGGGGUUUGGUGGCUUUAGCAUGGCCUGUCCCCUCCAGGGACCCACCGACCUGCAUGCCAGGGUUUACUUCAGCCUCAUCUGGGAAGGGAGCAGCCCUCGGGAGGCCCCUCGAGUACCCAGGAAAUGAAGAAGAGAGAAAAUGAGGCUGAGCUGCUCCGAUUGGCCCAAAGGUCCUGAGUCGGAAGAUGACAAAGAAACCCCGCCUUAGAGUCUGGACUCUGCUUCCCCAGUCCACGGCCAUGUGGCUCAGCAGCUGGCGUGGGGGCACCAGGAGGAUGGGGACCCUCCCCCUCUGGGAACUAAGGGCGGGAAGCCCACUGAGCGCUCAGGGUGUCCUGCUCCGCCCUGGAGAGAGUGGCCGGAGCCUGCACCCUGGGUUAGGGGGUGAGGCCGGGGAGCCAGGCAGGUACCAGGCCAGCUCCUGCUAGGCCGUCCUGCGGGCCAUACCUGUCUCUCACAUCACUCAGGCCUGGAGCCUCUCCCUGUGCUUCCUCUGCCAGCACAUGUGUGAGUGUGUACAUCACACACAGAUGACACGUGUGCACAGAGAGGUAUGCACACAGAGGGAUGUGCACACACACUCACACAACAUCGUAUGUUACAACGCCCUCUUACGCCUGGAGACAUUUGGGAAGGUGCUUGACUUGUUUGGUUACCCCUUUCUAACUCGCCCAUCCCCCAACUGUUCACACCUUGUCAGCCCCCAACCCCAGAGCCUCCAAGUCACCUCCCAGGUGCCACUGUCAGCCCUGACACCUCCUUCCUGGGCAGGGGCUGUGAGGGGACGCCUCCUUCCAGGACAGGGGGCACCAUCCGGGCAAUAACAUGGGCCACAGUUGCCCCAUGAUCCUCCCUACACUUUGUUGCUGUCCCAGCCGCAGGCCCGGCCCUGACACAAGCGGCUUCUCCAGCCAGCUGUGCAAAAAAGGAAUGCGUCCUCCCUGGGCCCACAGCUGGAUGGCCACAUAGCAGGCGUUCCUCCACAGCUCAGUGGUGUUACCCUGGGAUCUGAACAUGGCAAUGGCCUGGGGCCUGAUCGCGAAAAGGGAAAAGCAGUGUUACCAGGGACAUCCUCCUGGGGGUUUUAGAAUCUCCCCCUUGGAGGGGAGGAGAAGAAGAGUGAGGGAGGACUGCCGGCCCAGCCCCAUGAGUGGAGGGUGCACCGAGCCACUAACCUCUGGUCCCUGCCCACCUGGGAGCUCCUCCCUCACAGGCAGUGCCAGUCUGUGGCAGGGGUCAGGCCACCUGUUCUAUUUGCCUUUAGUUCAUAGCCUGAUCAAACGGUUAAUGAGUUCAAAGUUACAUUCCUUAUCUCAUUUUUAAGAUUGAAUGAGGACUCAAACCCUGCACCUGGACCAGUGACCCUGGGCAUUCUCUCUCAUCAUUGCACAACCACAGAAGCUUGUAUCUCCCUGCCAGCCUUUUAUGAGGUGCAGCCACGGGUCCUUUGCUUUCUUAUUCACCGCUGACGUCUGUACUAAUGACGACACGCUUUCGAAUGCCAGUUUGCUGACUGAAGUACUAGCUACAGCUGGAACCAGUUUCAGUUGCAUUUCUGCCUCUUACAACCAAGGGAGCCUUGACUGAGACCCACUCAUAGAAAAUGGGGCAGAAAAUAGGAACUGACACUCAAAAGAAACACAAAUGGCCAAUGAACAUGAAAAGAAGAACCGCUUUCCAUAAGGAAAUCCAAGAAUUGCACAUUACAAUAAAUGCGUGCUAUUACGGAUUGAACUGUGUCCCCCUCCUGAAAGGUAUGUUAGUCCUCACCCCCUGUACCUAAGAACAUGGCCUUAUUUGGAAAUAGCAGAUGUAACUAGUUAGAGUGAGAUCAUACUGGAGUAGGCUGGGCCCUAAAUACAGAACGCCUUGUGUCCUUGUAAGAAGAGAGGGAGGCCCUGGGAAAAGCCGGCCCAUCUGAAGAUGGCGGCAGAGACUGGAUGAGGGAUCUGUAAGCCAAGGGCUCACGGUGUCCCUGAGAACCUCCAGAAGCUGGAAGAGGCAUGAAAGGAAUCUCCCCAGCAGCCGGAAGAGGGAACAUGGCCUUGCCCACACCUUGAUUUCAGACAUCUGGCUCCAGAACUGUGGGAGGAUACAUUUCUGUUGUUUGGAGCUGCCUGGUUUUUCAUACUUUGUUAUGGCUGCCCUAGGAAACUAAUACAGAUAUUACUUUCCACUUCUGAGCUUAGCAAAAUAUUUUUAAAAUGAAAAUUCUUACAUGUUGGCACAGUUUAAGGUCAGGGGUGCCCCAGCCGUUUGGCAACAUAGAUCAAAGGUUUUAAGAUACUUUAUCCCCUUUCACUUGGUAAUUCCAUUUUUAAGGCUUUAUCCUAGGGAAGAAUUUCACAUAGGAAUUAUGAGUUUUGGGAAAGAUGCUCAUAAUAACACUGUUUAUAGUAACGGGUGGAAACAACAAAUGUCUACAAAGAGAAAUGUUAAAUAAAUGGGAAUGUUAUAUGUUAAACGUGAGAUAUUAGAUAUUAAGAAUAAUGUAUUUAAAUUAUAUAUGAUACCUGGAAUUCUCUUUCUACAAAUAGAAAAAGAGGAUGUAAGACUGUUCAU